rnacentral:misc_RNA from 1 species
AAUGGCCGCAGUAUUUUAACUGUGCAAAGGUAGCAUAAUCAUUAGUUUUUUAAUUGAAAGCUUGUAUGAAAGGUUGGACGAAGUAAAGUCUGUCUUUAUUUAAUUUAAAUUAGAAUUUAAUUUUUAAGUUAAAAAGCUUAAAUAUUUUUAAAAGACGAGAAGACCCUAUAGAGUUUAAUAUUAUUUAUUUUAAAUUUAUUUUUGAUUUAUUAAUUUUUUAAAUUAUAUAAUAUUUUAUUGGGGUAAUAGGAAGAUAAUUAUAAUUCUUUUUUUUUAUUACAUAAAUAAGUGAUUAGUUGAUCCAUUAUUAUUGAUUAUAAGAUUAAAUUACCUUAGGGAUAACAGCGUAAUUUUUUUAAAGAGUUCAUAUCGAUAAAAAAGUUUGCGACCUCGAUGUUGGAUUAAAGAUUAAUUUAGGUGUAAAAGUUUAAAUGUUUGGUCUGUUCGACCAUUAAAUCUUUACAUGAUCUGAGUUCAGACCGGUGUAAGCCAGGUUGGUUUCUAUCUUUAAUUAUUUAAUAUAUUUUAGUACGAAAGGACCAAAUAUUUAUUAUAAUAAUUUUAUUAUUGAAAGUUAUUGUUAUUUUGGCAGAUUAGUGUAAUGAAUUUAGAAUUCAUAAAUGUAAAUAUUUACAGAUAAUAU